rnacentral:rRNA from 1 species
UACGUAGGGGGCAAGCGUUAUCCGGAUUUAUUGGGUUUAAAGGGUGCGUAGGUGGUUUCUUAAGUCAGAGGUGAAAGGCUACGGCUCAACCGUAGUAAGCCUUUGAAACUGGGAAACUUGAGUGCAGGAGAGGAGAGUGGAAUUCCUAGUGUAGCGGUGAAAUGCGUAGAUAUUAGGAGGAACACCAGUUGCGAAGGCGGCUCUCUGGACUGUAACUGACACUGAGGCACGAAAGCGUGGGGAGCAAAACAGGAUUAGAUACCCCCGUAGUCCCUGAGCGGG